rnacentral:rRNA from 1 species
CCUACGGGUGGCAGCAGUCGAGAAUCAUUCACAAUGGGGGAAACCCUGAUGGUGCGACGCCGCGUGGGGGAAUGAAGGUCUUCGGAUUGUAAACCCCUGUCAUGUGGGAGCAAAUUAAAAAGAUAGUACCACAAGAGGAAGAGACGGCUAACUCUGUGCCAGCAGCCGCGGUAAUACAGAGGCCUCAAGCGUUGUUCGGAAUCACUGGGCGUAAGGCGUGCGUAGGCUGUUUCGUAAGUCGUGUGUGAAAGGCGCGGGCUCAACCCGCGGACGGCACAUGAUACUGCGAGACUAGAGUAAUGGAGGGGGAACCGGAAUUCGCGGUGUAGCAGUGAAAUGCGUAGAUAUCGAGAGGAACACUCGUGGCGAAGGCGGGUUCCUGGACAUUAACUGACGCUGAGGCACGAAGGCCAGGGGAGCGAAAGGGAUUAGAUACCCCAGUAGUC